rnacentral:misc_RNA from 1 species
GUCAUUUAGAGGAAGUAAAAGUCGUAACAAGGUCCCCGUAGGUGAGCCUGCGGAGGGAUCAUUACUGAGUUCGGGGGCAAUCCCAGUCCCGACCUCCAACCCUUUGUGAACACAUCUUGUUGCUUCGGGGGCGACCCUGCCGUUCGCGGCAUUCCCCCCGGAGGUCAUCGAAACACUGCAUUAUUACGUCGGAGUAAAAAGUUAAUUUAAUA